GGGUAGAGGAAAGGGAGGCUUGUUGGAGCUCAUCUAUCUCAAUCUGACUGUGGAGAAGGAGUCAACCCCUUAUCAUCUUUUGAGAUGAGUGUGCACAAAAACACUUGUGCAUGAAGGAGAUUUAAGUGGAAAAGUCGAUGCACAGAGACAGUCCCACUCUCUCGGCGUUGGAAGCCUGGGUCCAGUGGCAUGAAAAAUCUUUACACCUGGAGACUUCCUCAGCUGCAUUGGAUGGCCGUGUUGUCUUUUGUGCUCCAAACUGCCCAAAGCACUCCACAGUGCCUUGCUGCGUCGCCAUCUCAGCCGUUGAACCUUCUUGUUGGUUUCUUCCCCCUGUUCCGCAGAAGCAGUCUUCACAUGCUGGAUGAGAAAACUGAGGUUCAUAUAAGUUAAAAGACUCAAUGAAGGCUUCAACAGGUAGCACAUAGUGCUAUGAAGAUUUGAAUGUAGAUCCUCUGACUUGAGAUGAACUUUUCCAUGACAUUACUAUGGUUAUUCAGCAGCCUAUAUUUUUAAUAGUUAGAUUAAAAUGAAAUUUAGAGAUAUUAAUU
rnacentral:lncRNA from 1 species